rnacentral:misc_RNA from 1 species
GAAUGAGUAGCUUAUAAUAUUCUUCUCAACAAGCUGAUCUACAACACUGAGCCGACCACGGCCCAACCCCAUGAUUCCAUCAGCACGUUGCCUGAAAAGAUCACCAGUUUCGUCUCUCAUAAGUACAUUGCUUCCCCUCGUCAUCACAGUCACAACUGGGGUUGCACUUUAUAGGUUUGUAGGUGCUAGAUGCCUCUGGUUGGAACCUUGGAUCCUGAUGCUUGCCGCAUUGUUCACAUGUAGAGCACGGAACAUAUGUUACAGUACUGCCUGUAUCCACAAUAAGAGCGAAUUCCUGUGGAGGUGUCCCAAUAAAUAGCCUCGUAGUAUAGUAACCGUUAGAGAGGAGAUCGUCGUAGAGGCGCAUACGAGCGUUGGGGAGGUCAGAAUUUUGGAGUUGCCGCCUGUUAUAGUCGCUGCUGAAUACUUUACGAUGAGAGGAAACGUUAGGGGUUGAGAGAUGGAGGGGAAUUAUCACCGGGAGCCUCUGAUUGUCGAAAUCGAGAGCUGAAGAAACGAAGCCUUGAAUGAUUAACAGAAUCAACGAGUAAUAGAGGAUGGAAGAGCGCGGCCAAGCCAUGGCGGAGACAACAGUCAACGAAAGAUGAGUUGGAAACUGGUAGAGAGGAUCGAAGAAAGAAGUAAUGGCAAAUGGCUGCAAUUGUCGGUAGAGUAACUAACCAAUCAAAAGGAAU